GGCAGUAGCAACACACACAUUGACCCAUCUGUCCCUGUUCCAGCGCUGACUGCAGUAGGAUGUGGACUUUCUGCUACUGACAGACCUCUCUGAGCAAUCUCCUGCUGCUUUUAACUGAUAGGAUGGAGGGGAAAAGUAAUUUUGUUCCUAACGAGUGCUGGAUAACAGCCUACAAACCCGAAGUUCGUGGUGAUUAGGGGCAGUGCAAGCCCAUGAUAUCUUAUCUCAGCAGUGAAGGAGGCUGAGAAAAGUUGUGUGUUUGAUUGCCAUCAGAAGUGGCAUUGGACUCCGGCUCUUUGAAGUACCAAAGGCUGUUGUUGUCAGGAGGGAUAAAGGACAUGUAACUCCUCUCUUUGAGAAUAUCUGCAGUGGAAUUCAUCAGAUUAAAUGUCAAUAUUGAUGUUGGACUUAA